GCCACCCUAGCUCAAUUGGUAGAGCACCCGACUUGUAAUCGGAAGGUUGUCGGUUCGAUUCCGAUGGGUGGCUCCA
rnacentral:tRNA from 3 species